rnacentral:misc_RNA from 1 species
AGCAGCCGCGGUAAUUCCAGCUCCAAUAGCGUAUAUUAAAGUUGUUGCAGUUAAAAGCUCGUAGUUGAAUUUCGGGAUCAAUAUGUUGGUCGUGCCUUGGUACGUACUGGCGUCAUUGAUUUCUACCUUCUGAAGAACCUCGAUGUCAUUAAUUUGGUGUCUUGGGGAAUCAGGACUGUUACUUUGAAAAAAUUGAGUGUUUAAAGCAAGCUCACGCUUGAAUACAUUAGCAUGGAAUAAUGAAAUAGGACGUUUGAUUCUAUUUUGUUGGUUUCUAGGAUCGACGUAAUGAUUAAUAGGGAUAGUUGGGGGCAUUAGUAUUCAAUUGUCAGAGGUGAAAUUCUUGGAUUUAUUGAAGACUAACUACUGCGAAAGCAUUUGCCAAGGAUGUUUUCAUUAAUCAAGAACGAAAGUUAGGGGAUCGAGGACGAUCGGAUACCGUCGUAGUCUUAACCAUAAACUAUGCCGACUAGGGAUCGGAUGAUGUUAAUUUUUUAAUGUACUCAUUCGGCGUCCG